GAUCCCUGUGGGUAUGGCCCUAAGAAGAAAAAUUGCACAUGAAAGUAUAAAAAUACUUAAGUUUCAUAGUUGAGGAAAAAUAAACAGGUAAGGAAUUAAGAUCCAUUAAAAUACUCCGUAGGAGUUCCCUGGUGGCUUAGUGGGUUAAGGAUUCGGUGUUGUCACUGCUGUGGCUUGGGUUCAAUCCUAGCUCCAGAACUUCCACAUGCUAUGGAUAUGGCAAAAAAUAAAUAAAUAAAAUACUCUGUUAAUUUUAAAUAUACAUUAUAUGUAAGAGACCAGCUUUGGGCAGUGAUAUAAUCCCAGCUGCAGGCUUCUUUCUUUCCUUUCUUUUCCUCUUCUAAUUUCUCCACCUUCAAAAACCUAACCCUCACCAACUAUAAUGGAAAAAAUUAAAAUCAUUAAAAAAAAACAAAACGGGAAUUCCCGUCGUGGCGCAGAGGAAACAAUCCGACUAGGAACCAUGAGGUUGCGGGUUUGAUCCCUCCCUGGGUUAAGUAAGGAUUCAGUGUCAUUGUGAGCUGUAGGCCGAAGACGCGGCUCGGACCUGGCGUUGCUGUGGCUCUGGCGUAGGCCAGCAGCAGCAGCUCUGAUUAGACCCCUAGCCUGAGAACCUUCAUAUGCCGAGGAUACAGCCCUAAAAAGACAACAAGACAAAAAAAAUCCCCACAAAACCUUACCCUAGGAGUUCCCUUUGUGGCUCAAUGGGUUAAGAACCUGACAUAGUGUUCAUGAGGAUGUAGGUUUGAUCCCUGGCCUCACUCAUGGGUUAAGGAUCCAGCGUUGCCGUGAGCUAUGGCGUGGGUUGCAGAUGUGAUUCGAAUCCCGCGUUGCUGGCAGCUACAGCUCUGAUUUGACCCCUAGCCUGGGAAUCUCCGUAUACCGCGGGAGUGGCCCAAGAAAUGGCAAAAAGACAAAAAAAAAAAAAAGAUGUUUACCAAAUGGUUUGGGAGUUCUGCUGUGGUGCAGCGGGUUAAGGUAGCUGCUAUGGCAUGGGUUCGAUCCUUGGCCCAGAAACCUUUUCAUGCCAUGGGCGCAGCCAAAAAAAGCCUCCCCAAAACAAAAAGGGAUGUGUGUACAUGUAUAACUAAAUCACUCUGUUGUACAGCAAAAAUAUUGUACAUCAACUAUACUUCAACAAGAGAGUUCCUGCUGUGGUGCAGUGGAAACGAAUCCAACUAGUUUCCUUGAGGACUCGGGUCCGAUCCCUGGCCUCGUUCAGUGGGUAAAGGAUCUGGCAUUUCCAUAAGCUGUGGUGUAGGUUGCAGACUGGGCUCGGAUCCCGAGUUGCUGGAGCUGUGGUGUAGGUCGCAGAUGAGGCUUGGAUCCAGCGUUGUUUUGGCUGUGGCAUAGGCUGGCAGCUACAGGUCUGAUUCCACCCCUAGCCUGGGAACCUCCAUAUGCCACAAACAAAAAAAAGAGCUACUUGAUAGGUCUUAAUGAGAUAAUGUAUGUGAAGUGCCAAGCACAGUGCCUGGCACAUAAUAAACUCUCAAAAGCAUUACUAAUGGUUCAACUCAGAGCUUUUUUUUUUUUUUUUUGGUCUUUUUAGGGCCGCAUCUUCAUCAUAUGGAGGUUCCCAGGCUAGGGGUGGAAUUGGAGCUGUUGCUGCCAGCCUACACCGCAGCCACAGCAACUUGGGAUCCAGGCAUCGUAUGCAACAUUUACCACAGCUCAUGGCAACGCUGGAUCCUUAACCCACUGAGCAAGGCCAGGGAUCAUGAAUACUAUCAGAUUUGUUUCUGCUGAGCCAUGGUGGGAAGUCCAACUCAGUGCUCAAAUAUUCAUUGAGAGCCCUUGAAACUGCUCUUCUCUCUGUUUGGAAAUUUGCUUGGUAAAUCUGUACUCAUUCUUGAAAAUUUUCUUUAACUGAGCCUGAUGCCCUGCUCUCUCUCGUGUUCAUCAAAAUAAAAAUACCAAACUUGGAGUUCCUACUGUAUUGCAAUGGGAUUGGCAGUGUCUCUGCAGCACUGGGACACAGGUUUGAUCCCCAGCCUGGCACAGUGGGUUAAGGGUCUGGCACUGCCACAGCUGUGGUGAAGGUGGAGAUUUUGGCUUGGAUCUCAUCUCUGGCCUGGGAACUCCAUCUACCAGGGGGCAGUCAAAAAAAAAAAAAAAAAGAAAAAAA
rnacentral:lncRNA from 1 species